GUAAAACUUUCUCUUCCCAGGAGAGCUUGCUAGACAUUAUUUUCAACAUUCUACUUGAUGGCACACUUGGUCAACGAUGAUGUGCUGCAUAUAACUUGUCUAUCUGUGUCCUACUUCAAGUGAUGAAGUGGAUCAGGAUAUUAAAGAACGAUUCUUAAGAGCUCUUGUAGCUUUUCUUUUAACUUUGUUUAAUGAUAAAAUGUGGAGUGCAAGUCUUAUGUUUUAUACACUAAAGUCCAACUUCAUUCUUGCACUUGCUCAACAAUUUAAGCUGCAUUGCCAUUUGACUUUUCAACAAAUAACUGACAUAUUUCAGCAUUAUCCAUUGUUCAGUGGACCAGUACCAUCAAAUGGAAAAUAGAUAACUGAAUGAACUGAUCAUUAGUGAUCCCAGUUGCAGCCAAAUCUACAACACCUACCAAAAGGCUGUUCCUUGUCUUCAGAAUCCAUUUCCAUAGCAGCACUCCCACUCCCACUAGCCUUUCCUUUUACUCAGAACAUUCCAUGAUCCCAAAGCCCCAAACCAACCAUAAUAACAUCCUUCAGAAUCUUCCCAGCAGUAGUAUAAAGUGAAGAGCUAGAGCUAGUAGGCAUAGGAACAUCAACAACAUUAUCCAUAGGAGUCACAGCCAUCUCAGAAUCAUCGUUCUCAACACACCAUCUCUAACAUGCCCAAUUGACCAACAUUUAUAGCAAACUGGUAGAAGAUUCUCAUACUCAAGUUGUGUGUAAUAAUUCUUAACACAAAAUUCAGAUUGCAGAGGUAAUUUUCAGAUCACCUUCAACACAGUAACUUGCAUAUUUACCUGGAACCUGUGAAGCCACUGUCCAACGUCGCAUGUCAGUCACACUUCAGAGAAUGAGCCCCUACAGAGCGUAUCCACAUUGGCUUUGCACUAAAUGUCAAUAUGUUCACAAUACUAAACAAAGAUUUUUUUUUUUUUUUUUUUUUUUUUUUUUUUUUUUUUUUUUUUUUUUUUUUUUUUUUUUUUUAGUGUUUUGAGGGCAUUCAGGAAUAUGCACUUCACUCUGACUUUGAACUUGAUUUUCGUCUACAGUUGCUGGAACCUCUACUUCAGUUUCAGUUUGAUCGUGCAUUUUCUCUUCAUCUCAAAUGGGGAAACCUCGGUUCAUGAUUCUUGGUGGUGGUCUUGAGUACCAGCGAGUUUCUAACAUGUUGUCAAGUUUUGAUACUCUUUUACAGCAGGAGAUGGACCAUUUAAAUUUAUGGGAGGUUGCAGCCCAUCGAAUACAUCUCUCUCCUUUUGGGAAUCAUUGAUUCGAAACACAAAACUUUCCUUGAAGAUGUGGAAACUCCUUCAACUCUGAUAGUACUCAUUCCCAGUGGCAUCUCUGUUAUAUUAGUUCCAUAAUAUCAAGAAGAUGCAGAUUAAUCAGUUUCCUCAUAUCAGCAGGCAAUUCAGUGAGGGCAGCACAACCUGACAACAAUAGUGUCUGCAAAUUGUAGAGGGUACAAAAGGUGGUUCCUCCCUCAACAUAUGAUCAAAAUCUUGGAUUCCUAGAUGCAGGUCUAUACCACCAUUUCAUUUCUUAAGUUCAAUUCAUUGAGCAACUGAAUCUGAUUGAUACUCACAAGAAAAUGCAUGACUGUAAGCAAUUCAAUCUAUGUCAGUCAUAUUAGUGCUGUAAACUGAAAUUAUGCACUAGAAAUAUAUGUCCCAAAUGUUAAUUCAAAUUUUGAAUAACAUUUUAAUGAAGUGCAAAUACAGUGAUCAACAGACUAUGAUAUUUUCAAGAAUUUUGGUGUCAUUUGUGACACACUUUUCUCUGAUAUCAUAUGAAUGUCUAAUGACGUGUAUAUGCAACUCAAAUAACCAAAUGUUUGAAUACUAAUUUCUUUGGAAACCAGAAUCAAAUUUAUUUUAAGUUUGUUUGAGUUUUUGUUUUCUGUUAAUGAAUGGAUUAAUUCAUAUGCUUGUACAACAGUCACUUUGAUGACAUGAAGUACAAUGUGCAUGAACUAUUCCAGAAAACAUUGCAGAAUGCAUAUGAAUUUGUAUUUGUGGCUACUUUGGCAGCAUACAAAAUACAAUGAAAAUAUGCAGCAUUUGAUGGGACUUCCCAUUAUUAUCAGUAAGAAGCAAUCCUGCAAUUAGUUCUGCAGAUGACAAUUAUAUAUAGAACAACUAUUAUGAAAUAAUUUGAAUAUUACAGAAUUCAUGAAGAGGAUUACUCUUUGUGUAAGUAACUUUUAGCAAAUCAGAAAAGUGAGAUACACAGUAAGAGAAUAUGUAAUUCAUGUGCAGCAAUAUCAAAAGUGUGUUCUCAGGAUCAUAUAAGCAGUAAUUUCUGAAAAUAUUCUAUUUUAUAGAUCUUCAAGAUCAUUGUUUUGUAUCAUCUUGCAGAUAAGUAUCAUAGAUAAAGCAUGAUGAUCUUAUUGAUUCUGCAGUGCAAUUUGAGAAUCACAACUUAAAUAUCUAAAAGCACCACUCAUGCGUAAGUCAAACAAAUUUGAAUUGCAGUAAGGAUUCUAAUUCAAGAAACUGUUGUUUAGCAAUAUGUAAAGAUGAUCCAGAGAAUUAAACAAAAACAAAUACCAUAACAAUCUUAAUUUGAGCAUAGUAGGCUCUGAUACCAAUUGUAAGAAACAAUUAUUUCUGACCAUGUAAAUACUUGAACGGAUAGCAACUCAGACAAUCAAAUCUGCAACAAUAUUUAUCAGAAUCUGUUGUGCAAGUUAUGCAGAUAUAAAUGAGUAUAUGAAUCAUGAUGAAUUCUAAACUCAUCAUCAUACUAGAUAAUUAAGAAAGCUAUGCCAAAUAUAAGAUUGUAAUUCAAGAACAAUACGAAUCAAGACCAAAAUAUAAUUAUCUGCAAUGUAUCA